ACAAGAAUGAAUUAAUGUUGAUUUCUGAUCCCCACUCUAUUCCAGUUGGUGGCGGUAAUGCGCCGUAACGUUGUUUGCCAACCACCAUAAAUCAAGAAGAAGAAGAAGGCCACUUUGCUGCGCAUCGCCUUUUCCUUCCCUCCUGAGUUUCCGUAGCCUCUCUCUUCCUUCUACAGUGUCGUUUUCAUUGUUACAGGAGCAAAUAAAUGGUAGAAAAUAAUCCCUUGAGUGGCCAAUAACAACCUCCACUCUGUACACUGGGAAGUCAUCUCAGAUCCCAGGAACACUUUGGCACCAGAAAGCAGAGAUCUGCAGCUUGAAGAUGGGUGUCACCAACACGUAAUGGAUUAUGAGAGCUGUCAGUCUCCAUUCACUGCGGAAAUACAUGUUGUCCAGAUCAGAGCUCAAACUUGUUUAGCCUCUAAGGAAGUGAAACUUAGUCAUUGUCACUGAGAGCUGAAAUGGAGCAGAAAGGAGUUCAGCUGGACCAAGAAACCUUCUCUCUUCUCUGUUCGAUCUGUCUGGAUAUACUGAAGGAUCCGGUGACUAUUCCCUGUGGACACAGCUACUGCAUGAGCUGUAUUACAAACUUCUGGAAUGGAGAGGAUCCGAGGAAGAUCUACAGCUGCCCUCAGUGCAGUGCGACCUUCACACCGAGGCCUGUCCUGGUGAAAAACGACAUGU